rnacentral:rRNA from 1 species
UACAGGGGGUGCAAACGUUGCUCGGAAUUAUUGGGCGUAAAGCGCGCGUAGGCGGCUACUUAAGUCGGAUGUGAAAGCCCUUGGCUUAACUGAGGAAGUGCAUCCGAAACUGGCAGGCUAGAGUACUAAAGAGGGUCGCGGAAUUCCCGGUGUAGAGGUGAAAUUCGUAGAUAUCUGGAGGAAUACCGGUGGCGAAGGCGGCAUCCUGGACCGGCAUUGACGCUGAUGAGCGAAAGCUAGGGGAGCAAACGGG